AUGAUGUUGAAGGGAUUCCUGACGAGAUUUCCCGACUUCUUAAGCAAGAAAAGAAGAUCACUCAGCUGCAUCUCGAGAAUCAGCAGAACAGCCAACUAGGGCACAUAAAAAAAAGAGAAAAAAAAAAGAGAAAAAAGAAAGAGGAGGGUGCAAAAUCAAAAGAAACCCAAAUCAAAAGAAAGAAAAAGAAAGAAAGAAACAAAAGAAAAAAUAGCACCCUCAAAGUCCCAAGUUGACUGAUGCUGAAUGGAUUCAGAGUCACUACGACCAGGUGAAUCCAAUCGAAAGGAAGAGAUCAACUGCCAUGUGUCAUGGUCAGUUAUAUCAGCAGA
rnacentral:lncRNA from 1 species